UGUACAGCCCCGUGGUGCUGUCGGACCCCCGACCUGGCAGCCCCGCGGGGUUCUUUC
rfam:Pseudonocardia dioxanivorans CB1190, complete genome.